rnacentral:sRNA from 1 species
CGUCCCUCGUGGGCGGCCCCUCCUGCGCCUGUUGUCAGAUGGCGUCCGGCCGCGGUUAAGGUGGAGAGGAGCUGUGGACGGGCAGGGCCCUUUCCUGGCCCUGGGGGUGCAGAGAGAUUGUGGGGUCGGCCAAGUCAGCACCCCGGGGGGUCGAGAAGGGGUAGUAGCUCGGACCUAGGCGAGUGCCCAAAUUCUCAGCGGGCGAGGCGGAUCGGCUCUGGGAGGUUUAUGGCCGAAGUACUGGACGCACCGAUCUUCCCCAGAUGCUUUCUUCACAUGUCGAAAAAAUGUCCUUCUGGCGAAGAGCUCAUCCCCCCAGGUAGAGGGCGACUUUGCCAUGGCCCCUCGGGGCCCUGACCAGGAGGAAUGUGAGGGCCUGCUGCAGCAGUGGCGAGAAGAAGGGUCGAGCCAGGUGCUCUCAACUGCAAGUGAGGGGCCCCUUAUAGAUAAAGGACUAGCCCAGAGCAGCCUGGCACUUCUGAUGGAUAAUCCUGGAGAAGAGAAUGCUGCUUCAGAGGACAAGUGGUCCAGCAGGCAGCUGAGUGACCUUCGGGCAGCAGAGAACUUGGACGAGCCUUUCCCUGAGAUGCUAGGAGAGGAGCCACUGCUGGAGGUGGAGGGGGUGGAGGGCCCCAUGUGGGCAGCUAUCCCCAUGCAGUCGGACCCCCAGUAUGCAGACUGUGCUGUCCUCCC